AACGAACGCUGGCGGCAUGCCUAACACAUGCAAGUCGAACGAUACCUUCGGGUCUAGUGGCGCACGGGUGCGUAACGCGUAGGAACCUGCCCUUAGGUUCGGAAUAACUCCCCGAAAGGGGUGCUAAUACCGGAUAAUGUCUUCGGACCAAAGAUUUAUCGCCUUUGGAUGGGCCCGCGUUGGAUUAGCUAGUUGGUAGGGUAAAAGCCUACCAAGGCGACGAUCCAUAGCUGGUCUGAGAGGAUGAUCAGCCACACUGGGACUGAGACACGGCCCAGACUCAUAAGGGAGGAAGCAGUGGGGAAUAGUGGAAAAGGGGCGAAAGCCUGAUCCAGCAAUGCCGCGUGAGUGAUGAAGGCCUUAGGGUUGUAAAGCUCUUUUACCCGGGAUGAUAAUGACAGUACCGGGAGAAUAAGCUCCGGCUAACUACGUG
rnacentral:rRNA from 1 species